rnacentral:tRNA from 1 species
AUCAGGAUGGCCGAGCGAUCCAAGGCGCUGCGUUCAGGUCGCAAUCCAAUUCGUGGGCGUGGGUACGAAUCCCACUCCUGACA